GACAAUUUUUCAUGGAAAUUUUCUUUUCCGUCAAUUUUCUUCCACACUUUUCUUUCACAUUUUUCACUAAUUGCAGUCCUUACAUUCCACAGAAAUGCAUACUUAUAUCAUAAUAAUUACAUAAGUCUGAUUGUUGGGGAUUCAAAGGCUGUAGCAAAUUUUCACUUUUGACUAAUUUAUCUAUCUUUACUGUAUUUGCAGAAUUAGCAAAAUACAGUGUCUUAGUCUGAACGAUUGAAUUUGCUUUCUGUUUUUUCAAAGUAUCAUAAAAUAUUUAAGAAGUUAUUCAUAUCUUCUGUAUUCUGGCUUUUGUUUCAUCGUUGGUGUUUUUACACAUAAAUAGCUUUGAGCUUAUGCCUAGUACAGUGAUCGGGCAAAAAACAAGAGAGAAAAAUGAACAACAAAAAAAAGCAUGUCAGGAUAUUGUUGCAAAAACUCAGCAAUUAUUCAAUCACUCAUGUUAAAAAAUCCUAAAUAAAUAAAGGCCCAACACAAAUUUUCUGGGAAUAUUUAGCAAUUAAAUUUGGGACAUACAUGUUUGAACUGAACUUAAAAACUGCAGGCUUGAGCUCGUAGAAGUAGACUUUAGACCAUUCAUUAUUUUAGUAAUAACUGCUUGCAUGCUCAUCCUAUCAAGUAAUAUGGAUAAUAUGUGACUUACCAUGAUUACUCAAUUAAGCAUACCAGUUCAUAGUUUAAAUAUCUAAUAAUUAUACUUGAGCAAAUGAUAAUUGAAUUCAAAAAUGCAUUGAAUGCAUUCUCAUUGUGGAUAAUUUGAGGAGGGAGGGCACUCUUAUUUGUUUUGUAUAACUCUCGAGAAAAAAUUGCAUUUGCCAUUUGAAUUAAAUGUUUAUGUCUAUCAAAAUGACACAAAGCUGAUUUUAGUUAUAUCCAUAGAUGCCAGUGGAGAACAGCAUUUUCCUUUUAAACAUAUUUUAUCAGCUUUGAUUUGCUGUCUAAUCUUAAUUCCUUUCCCUCUCCUUUUUCCCUCUCAUUUACUGCUACAUUUCUAUUUUUAACUACUGGGGUCUGAGUUAUGCUGCCCAGAGUUUGCACUUUGAUUUUAUAUCAAUAUGUUAUUUUUUAUAUUUUUGGAUAUAAAAACCUAUGGAGGUUUUGUGAGAACCAUGACAUCAUAAAAAUUUAUCUAAUUUUAAUAAUAGGAAUCUAAGUGGAGAAAAAAGAAAAAUAAACAAAGGCUUCUAUUGUAGUAAUUGCCAUGAAAAGUUUGCAACAUACCUAUUCUUAAUGAAACAAUAUGCUGAACAAUAUCUUUCCUAUUUUAAAAAUCUAUGCAAUAUCUAAAAAAAAAGACAUUCAGAAAUAAAAAAAAAAUGUAACUCUAAAGUAUGCAAUUAUGAAAGCAGAUAAAAUAAAAAGUGCUGAAACAAUUCAAACUUACAACAAAAUUUAUUAAAACAAUUUAUAUAUUCAGAUGGUACAAGCAACUUUUUUGUGAAUUCUGAGCAGAAUAAGAACUAAUAAAGAGCAAAACCAAAAAGGCAUUAUUGUUCUUGUCAUGUGCUAAAGCCAGGCAUACAUGCAUCUCUGGCUUUGUGUGAUUCUCUUGUGAUUCUUUUAGUGGUUCUGGUGGAACAGGAGACACUGUUAGACAUCAGAUUGUAACUUUUGCCCUGUUCUAUUUGGGAGCCCAGCAUAUUUCAGAAUAUCCUGUAUCCCAUUUUCAGAGGCCUGUAUUAAUCCUUAAAGGCCUCCAGUUCAGGAAAUUUAUUUUUAAGCAUGUGCUUAAUCACUUUCCUGAAUCAAAACCUAGAAAAUGAACUUUUUUAGUGCAAAAUUUUAAUAGAUUUUGCUUGCAAAGCAUUUCUUAUCAUAUUAGUAGAAUAAAUCCACCUUGAUGCCCUUAUCCUUUUUAAUAAUUGACAAUCUCAUUUGGCAUUUUCACAGUCCUACAUUAAGCAUGAAGAUUUCCUGUUGGAGGUGUAAAAUAGCUGUUCUGAAAGACAUGGGAAGGGAAACACCCUAACACUAUGUUUGCUGAAGCUAUGCUGAUUCUGCUUUGACAUUCACCAAAGACAAUGAGAUACAGUUACCUACUUAUUUCUUAUCACUUUUGUUAUUCCUGAGGUUGAAGCACUUUUUCCUCCUAUAAAUCUUCAUGUGCAUAUUUACAUGAAAUCAAUAGUAAAAAAAAACCCCAAAAUCCAAACCUAAGGCUUUUUAUUUUUAAAGGACAUUCAUUUUUAUGUACUGCUCAUGAUGCAAUUCUUGGGACUUUCCUGUGCAGGGCCAGCAGCUGGACUUUGAUGAUCUUUGUGUGUCCCUUCCAACUCAGAAUAUUCUAUGAUUCUGUAUUACUUGACCCACUCUAUUAGACUAAGAUGUUCUACCUAUCAAUAUAAUUAGUUUUAUUGCCUAGAAAUUAUGACAAAUGCUAGGAUAUAGAACAGCUAUCCCAUGAUCUGGGAUGUUGUUUAAUCAGUGUCUGUAUCACUUGAAAAGAAGUUUGCCUAAAUAUAAAGUAAAUAAACUUUAAAACUGGUCUCUGAGAUUCUGAUAGUUUUAUUAUUCCCAAUCCUUUAAAAUGUAAGAAAAAUUACAUCCAAGAACAAUGCAUAAGGAGUACGCUUUUCUUUUUACAGAAAUUCUUGCCUGCCAAACUUUGUAAAAAGCAACAAAUCAUCUUGCACCAUCCAGAGCAUCUGUUGCUAAAUUUGGCUCUUUUCUACUUAUUCAAAUGUGAGGAGUAUUUCUAGAGGCCUACAUUUUAUAGAAUUGACAUGCCAAAAGUUCACUGACCACACUGUCUUCAUAAAAGCUUUGUUUGCUAGUUAGUUGUUUCUGAGUGCACUUAUUCAAAAGGAUUUUGAAGCUGCUGAUGUGAUGUAUUUUGUUCUUUUGAAAUGCUGAAAACUGUGUCUUAUUAUGUUUAGAUUUUAGCUUACCUUUGUAACCAGUUCUAAUUGUUUAAUUUACUCAUGCUCUUUUAAGGUGGACAGCAGAAUUUUUUUCUUUUCUUUUCAAAUUACUUGAAAUACUUGAAAUUACUCCUUCAAUCAACUGUCAAUACAUUGAAUUAGUAAAUAAAUAGCGCUUUUUAUUGAAACUAAAAUUACAGCUGUCAGGUAAAUAUACCCAGAUGAAACUUAAGAGUUCAGGGCUUGGCCAAGAUUUCCCUGCCCAGCCUGGACAGGACUCUCCAUCUUUUUGCACCUAAGUUUACCCAUUGUAAACUGGAAAAAAAAAGUAGCUCAUCUCACAGUCCCCAUCUUUAUGCUUUACUGCGAUUUUGUGCAAUGAGAAUCAAGAGCUUUCACUAAUUAUACAAUAAGAACUGUAAUUUGUGAACAAAACUAACACAUUCAUGGUUUUAAGAAUGAGAGUAGUCCCACUGAUAUGCUCUCUAUGUGGGCUGUCUUUACAGGGUCUUUAGGAUUAGUCACAAAGUAUGAAGACUACUGUGGUGUAUUUGCAGUUAGAUACCAUUAAAUUGUCUUCUUGCUCCCAUUUUUAAGAAAGACUUAGAGACAGCUCCUGACUUAGCCCGUAUGAUGACCAAGGUAGAACAAAAAGAAACUGCAUUUGCUUUUGUAUCAUGACAUUCUGAAUCCAGUCUGAAGGUUAGAUCUAGCCUCCCUUUUUUUAUAACGGUGAAAAUUAUACAUGUUUAUCUCUUAAGUAUCAGGUGUGCUUUUCUUCAGCUAUCAGUUAGACUUAAUUCUGUUGUUAAAGGAUUUGGUAGUUUGCAACUAAUAAAACCAGUUUGCAAGGGAUAUUGUUGCCCUUGGCUGAGUUUUGCAUUUUAACUGUAUCCCUAUUUAAAACCUCUGUAUUUUCCAUGUUGCAUUAAUUGUCAAGUGUCAUCUUUCAAAAGAAUGGAUGGCAGCCUUCACUAAAACCAUAGAGUAUACCUAUAUUCCCAGUAUGCUGUUUAUAUGUUUAAGUAUUUACUUAAAUGAACAUAAAAGAAGAUAAUAUCUAUAUGCUGCAACAGUGAAAAAUAAACUGUAAAAUCAUCACAAAAAGGGAAGUCAAAAUGACAGAACAUUCUUUGUAUAUGCACAUCAGCAACAAAACAUAGAAAUUAUCUAAAUUAAAUCUUCCCAAAUCUAAAACUUCUAAGUAAACACCAACUUGGGAUAUUCAGCAUUUCUCAUUUUAAAGUAACAUGCCUUCUAGGAGAACAAAUAAAUUUAAGCUAUUUUAGUUUGGACAGAAAAUUAAUUCUAAUUUGUAGAUACAUUUUCAGAGAAACCUCUAACAUCAAUGGUUAUUCUUAGCAACAGAGGAAAUUCUGAGUGUCUCUGUGACUUAUGCCAUCUGAUACUUAAUGUUUCUGAGCAGUUUUGCAGGGGGGGUAGGGGGCAGCAGGGUGAAGUCCCACAUGAAAACAUCAUAGUCAUGUAAGUAUUUGCUCGAUUUAUGAUAGAGUAAGUUCCUUUUAGAAGAGGAGUGUCUAAAGUAAAAAGUGUGUCUUUCUUUAAUUCAGAUAAACUAGCCCUAACAAUCUAUUUGAAAUAAUGAAUUUCUGCUUAGAAAAUAUGUACGAUAGCCAUUUGUAUCUUGUUCAAAUAGGAACUGACAUUCUUACUCUUAAAAUGAAAAAGAAUCAUAUCUUUUCCUGAUAAAAUACAUGUGUUUACAUGAGUAUAUUUUAUACAUACAUACAUACAUACAUAUUUCCAAGAAAAGAGUAAUUAAAAAUUGGCUCAAAAUAUUUCUCCAAUCUCGUACUUUCUAAUAUGUUAUACCUUUAGUAAAGGCAGGCUUCCCAAUAUUUGAAAAUUUAAACUGAUAUCUGUUACCAUUAAGUGUGAACUUAACACCAGUUAUGAAUACAACCUCCCUGCUGGGCAGCCAUUAGAAAGUUGUUCUUUCUGAUUCCUGUGUAAAUAUCUAGGUUAGAUUCCAAAUAAAAAUUCUAUGAACUUUAUCUGAAACAAAAAUAACAGAACUAUUUGAGGUUUGUUACAGUCACUUCUAUAUCCAGCUGACCUUGUCCCAAUUUUAGCUUUGUUUCCCUUUUCUGUGUAGCUUCUGGGAAACCGCCUUAAAAAUAAAAUCUACUCAGGGGAUGAAAUACUGAGCUUCUUACUGUGAUAAAACUUCUAUCUAGCUCUGCCUUAAAAACAGUUGCCUUUGCAUUUCAUUUUUUUCAGAAUCAGUGCUAAAGCUCCACUGUAAAGGCGAUGAUAACCUAGAACAAAUUAGGAUAUAUUGAACACAGUCAAUUUGUGCCAAAUGAAGAUUCAUAAUGCUGGAAAAAAUCAUUACCAGUUCAAGCACACAGGAUUCUUAAUAGUGAAUAAUGGCUGUACAUUGAACAUUAGGAAUUUGUUUACUUUGUUUUUUUAAGGUGUAGAAAAAGUAGUAUAGUAACUUUACCUGAGAAGCUAAUAUUAAGUUCAGCAAAGUAUUUUCAUUUUAGACUAUGAACUAGGGACUAGACAAUGCCUUUAAAAAGUGAGUGCAAAGCACUUUUCCCAGAUUUUCAUUCUGAGAUGAAAGGGGAAGAAAGGGGUAGAAUGUGUUGCUUCCCUCCUCCAAAGGAGAAGCUGAGAUUGUCCAGUUUUUAGUUUUGCACUGGGCUGUAAAGUAAGAUCAAAAAAGGUAUCUGCCUCUUUGUCCCUUGAUGUCCCAUAGUGGGAGCAUGGAUUACUUGGGUUACCUACCUGGCAAUACUGAGAAAAAGAUUGCGUUAUAUUCUUCUUUUCCUUUGCUUCUUUCUCUUUCUCAGUUCCUCUAUUAUUAUUAUUAUCUUGACCUCUUCUGUAAAGUAUUUUAAAAUGUUUAAUGAAAAUACUACAAUCCUUAUAUUUUUUCUUAAUUGAAGCAAUAGGAGACAAACACAGGGUCACUGGUAAUUGUUAGAGCAAUUUUCCUUUAAAUAGUAAAAACUAUUAAAUGAUGAUCAAGUAUGUACCAGCAAAGUUUAAAUUCCUGUCCCUGUUUCUCAAAUAUGCUAAAUAUUUAUAUUCUGUCCUGGUAAGCUAAAACGAUCUUUAAGCUUAAACCUCAAAGGUCUCAUAAAUCAGUUUUCCCAGGGACAUAAUAUACAGUUAUUGUGAAAUACUGUAAUAAAAAUAUCAGGAAACCUAUUUUGCACUUGUGGGCAUUUUGUAAGCAGAAGACAAGACUUCUAACUAAGAAUUUACAUAUAAACUCUUCUGAUCUCGUAAGUUGUCACAAUAGACAACAGAACAUUCAUGUGCUCAGUCCUGGCCCAUGUAAGUGUUGCAGUGCUACAUUAAAAUGCUUGCUUGCUAAGCCUCAAAUGCUGCUGCUCAGAAUACUGUCAGUGGCUAAGGAUAGGUCUUUCAUAGCCUCACAAGGCCACAGCAAAUGAAGCACUCCUCAGUGCAGACCUGAGUUGCUCUGACCUCCACAGUAGCAGAGGUAAACUGUACAGGUUCACUGGCUGCCCUUGCCCUUUCCCAAGUCAGCUACAUGAUAUGGUACAAAAAAAAAAAAAAAAAAAAAAAAAAA
ensembl:lncRNA